rnacentral:ribozyme from 1 species
CCAGGGCGGCAGCAGGAACCGCCCGGCAAUUAAAACGGCCACGCCGACCAUGGGCGGCGUGAGGGUCCGAAGCCCCUACAAACAGUUGACGGGUUG